rnacentral:rRNA from 1 species
GACGAACGCUGGCGGCGUGCCUAAUACAUGCAAGUAGAACGCUGAAGGAGGAGCUUGCUUCUCUGGAUGAGUUGCGAACGGGUGAGUAACGCGUAGGUAACCUGCCUGGUAGCGGGGGAUAACUAUUGGAAACGAUAGCUAAUACCGCAUAAUAGUAGAUGUUGCAUGACAUUUUCUUAAAAGGUGCAAUUGCAUCACUACUAGAUGGACCUGCGUUGUAUUAGCUGGGUGGUUGGGUAACGGCUCACCAAGGCGACCAUACAUAGCCGAGCUGAGAGGGUGAUUGGCCAACCUGGGAAUGAGACACGGCCCAGACUCCUACGGGAAGCAGCAGUAGGGAAUCUUCGGCAAAGGACGGAAGUCUGACCGAAGAACGGCGGGUGAGGGGAGAAGGUUUUCGGAUCGGAAAGGUAUGUUGUGUGGGGAGAACGGGUGGUAGAGUGGAAAGUUCACAUUGUGACGGUAUCUUACCAGAAAGCGACGGCUAACUACGUG